GAUGAACGCUAGCGGGAGGCCUAACACAUGCAAGCCGAGCGGUAUUUGUCUUUCGGGACAGAGAGAGCGGCGUACGGGUGCGGAACACGUGUGCAACCUGCCUUUAUCUGGGGGAUAGCCUUUCGAAAGGAAGAUUAAUACCCCAUAAUAUAAUGAAUGGCAUCAUUUAUUAUUGAAAACUCCGGUGGAUAGAGAUGGGCACGCGCAAGAUUAGAUAGUUGGUGAGGUAACGGCUCACCAAGUCGAUGAUCUUUAGGGGGCCUGGGAGGGUGAUCCACCACACUGGUACUGAGGCAAGGACCAGACUCCUACGGGAGGCAGCAGUGAGGAAUAUUGGACAAUGGGUUAGCGCCUGAUCCAGCCAUCCCGCGUGAAGGACGACGGCCCUAUGGGUUGUAAACUUCUUUUGUACAGGGAUAAACCUACUCUCGUGAGAGUAGCUGAAGGUACUGUACGAAUAAGCACCGGCUAACUCCGUGCCAGCAGCCGCGGUAA
rnacentral:rRNA from 1 species